UGUUUGUUUGUUUAGGCCCCAUGGGGGCUGUGAACUGGAGCUUCUAUUUAUUUAUUUAUUGUUUAGGCACCAUGGCCUACACUCCUUUAUUAGAGUGAGGGUCCCGAGGACCAGCCCCCAUAUAUGAUGGGUCCACUUGAGCCUCCUUAGGAGCCCCAUGAGGGAGUGAUGGCUUGGGUAGGGAGCCAGGGACCUUGCCCAGCCCGACACUGGAGCAGGAGAGCGGCCUCAGUCCCCACCCCAACCCCAGAAGAGGGCGGGGCGAGAACCGGAGUCAAAUCUUGGGCCGGGUCCAAGGGCCUGAGCGCCUGGUUUAGGCCGGAAAUGGUCUAGUUCUCAGAGGUGGUCCGAUCCCUAACCAGUCCCAGGCCCAGCCCCAGCCCAGCACCACCUGGAAGGUUCAAGUACAUGGAGGAGAGGAGUAAGGCGGACUUGGGCGUAUGGAGAAAGGGGUGAAGGGAGAAAGAGGACUUGCGCUCAGGAGGGAGCGUGGCCUACUGGUGGGAAAGCAGGCGUGGCCGCCUGUGCGGGAGGUUGCGGAUCCACAGUGGGCGAGACCAGGCCCCAGCCCCAUCAGGGCGCGGGGUGCGCAGCCAGGUGGUGCUCCAGCAGCGCCCAGUGAGAGGAGACCUUGCGGUAGACGGGGGAAGGGCGCGCGCUCUGGCCGCUGAGUGCGCAUGUGCAUAUUGAGCGAACUCUUCUGCGGGAAGGGCUUGGCGUAGACCGCGCACUGGAAGGCGUGCGCGCAGGUGUGCGUGACCAUGUGCUUGAAACGGCAGUAGCGCAGCGAGAAGGAUCGCCAUCACACGGCGCACUGGUGCGGCUUCUCCCCCGAGUGGAUGAACAUGUGCUUGGUGUCGUUUUUCCUUGAGCUGAACGUCUUGCAACAGUGGCCGCACGCAUAGGGCUGACCCCACAUUGGACACCGCUGCAUCCAUGUCCAUCACACAACACAGCUGCCGUUUCUUCUGCCUGCUUAUGGGAAAGUCCCCUCUUCUCCUCCGUUUUCUUCUCUUCCUGCCCUAUCACACCGUGCACUUCUCCCUUUCCUUAAAGAACCACCAUCAACUUUAGGAGGAGGGAAAGGGGUGGCUCUGGCAGGAAAAGCCAGAAUCCCCUCUAGCCAGCAGAGAGAGAGAGGAAUGGCUGCAUGUUUUCUCCCCCAGUCCAAGGCACUGGGUCUUGGCUGGGUUGAAGGUUCCAAGCUGCUCUCCUGCUGUGUCGGUGAGUUCUGGUCAACCUGCAACCUCCUGAUAUGGCCAUUGCAGUUCAUCGAGUCUUCAGGGACUCCCCAUGGCCUGGAGUACUUUGCCUUGCUUACACGGGAGAGGAGAAUGGAUUUAUAGAGAACAUCAUCUAAAUCCAACUUGACCAUUGUGUGGCCACACUUGCUAGAUUGCUAUAGUCUAAAUCUAGCAUUGUAGAAAGACGGGGGAGCUUGGAGCUGCACAAACCCAGGUCUGGAACUGGCUCCUUACCUUGGAAGGUGAAUGAUCCUGCCAGGACUCUUAGCCUCCCUGGGUCUCAAUUUCUUUAUCUGUUUCAUGGGAAUGAGGAUCUCUGCUGGGUGGUUGGGUGAUGUGGGGGCUGUGUGAAAACAGCUUGUCAAUACAAGCCAAAAUAGAAAUAUUUCUCCACAGAGUAUGAAGGUCAAAUGAGAGAAUACAUUUAAAUUAAAUGGAAAAUUAAAAUGGUAAAAAAUGCAAAGCUGUAUUGAAAGUUCCGAGCUUCUCUAUAAGGAGCUUUUUGACUAUGGAAGAAUCCUGUACUCGUUCCCCCUAAAUAUAAAAAAAAAGUUGAAGGAGGCAGAAGGGAGAGUGAUGCACGAUGGGCAAGGACUUCACCUGCUGUUGCUGGCUUUGAGGAUGGAGGAAGGAGGCCACAAACCUAGAAGCUGGAGCCCCUAGAAGCUAGAAAAGGCAGGGACCCGAUUCUUUCCUUGAGCCUCCAGAAGGGACACAGCCCCGCCAGCACCUUGACUUUAGCCUGGUGAGAUCCUCUUAGGACUUUUGGCAAUCAGAACUAUAAGACAGAAAUGGAAGCCACUGAGUCUGUAGCUGUUUGUUGCAGCAGCAAUAGAAAACUAAUGCAGGGCCCAAGAAAUCACUGGUGAUGAGAUCGGGAAAGUGGGCUCAGGAGGUCUGGAUCUGUGAUGAGAUCGGGAAAGUGGGCUCAAGAGGUCUGGAUCUGUGGUGAGAUGGGGGAAGUGGGCUCAGGAGGUCUGGAUCUGUGAUGAGAUGGGGAAAGUGGGCUCAGGAGGUCUGGAUCUGUGAUGAGAUGGGGGAAGUGGGCUCAGGAGGUCUGGAUCUGGGGUGGGGAUCUGGAGUGGAAGGGGAAUUCAUUUGUUCAUUGUCUAUCCUUUUGUAUUGAUUGAAUUUUUUAUAUAUAUAUGUGAAUUUUCACAAUAAAAUUUUUUUCCAAAAUAAAAUAAACAAAA
rnacentral:lncRNA from 1 species